CCUGCAUUGUGAAUGUGAGCCUGCGUUUCAAGCAAAACUAAACUGCUCCUACUAUCUGUUCAUCUGCAUCUUUUCCCACUCAGUGCUCUUGUGCUCUUCAUUAUAACCAGUGACUCAUGUCACUCAUCUCGUCUAUCUAGCUGGGAUUGUGACUUCCAUUAACAACUGCUUGAAAUCAAUGGUGGACUGACAAGUGAAUAAAUCAAAGACUGGGAAGAUAUAGUGGUGGUGAGGUGCUCAGUUGACAAGAAUAUCCUAGUCACCAUGGGGAAAAGGCUGGAAGAUUAAGGUUGCUGUAGUUGAAAAAGGAGGAAAGGAUGCCAAAACCUCAUGAAGAUAUACUUCGUUCCUGCUUUGGGAAAUGUUCAUAUUUUCAUCCGCCCAAGGUGCAGUUGUUAGAAAGGAAAGUUGAGCACAUUUUUUCCAUUUCACAGGAGUAACAAAGUAUUCAUCAUAAACAUUGGGCCAGGCUCUGGCUAUAAAGCACAGAGUUCAGCUGACAGAAUGCCUCAUAAACUUCCCCACGGCUGAGAUAUAGAAGGCUUUGAUUUAUUCCAAGUAUCUGAACUGACACAAGCAAGACCAUAUUGUAUAUUUUACACACUCUACCUCUGGAUUCUUUCAAUGACACAGGGACAAUCCUCAUCUCCACCCUCCAUUGCACCUCUAUUUGCUUUGGAGCUGCUAAGAUGUUUCUUUUCCCGUGCAAUAGCUGUGGUUCCACAUUCAUUCUCUGAGAUCGGUGAGUUUCAAUGCAGGGCCUUAUUUCUUCACAGGGAAACAUCAACACAAGCAAUUCUUCACCUGAAAACUGAUGCCAUAGAAUCAUUCACCUUUCUGACAUUUGACCUUGGAACCUGCUGGCUCGCCUUUGUGUCACUUUGACAAACUGACAAGGCUUGUAGUCCAAUAUAUCAGGUGACCUCCAGGCUGAGGAAAGCAGAACAACACGAGUCAAUCCAAUAUCCCUAAGUUUCUAAGGUUGCAAUCCUAUCUAUGAAUUGCACACCUACUGGGGAAUGUGCACCACAAAACACAAUCUGCAUAUAGGAUCAGGCAGUACACAUGUAU